UCUCCGUUGGUGAACCAGCGGAGGGAUCAUUGCUGGAACUGUGUCCGCAAGGACACAACCCCAGAUACCCUUUGUGAACUUAUUCUUAUAUCGUUGCCUCGGCGCAGGCUGGGAGCUUCUAUAAACUCCCCCCCGCGGACUCACCUCUGCGCGGAGCAGGCCCGCCGGCGGCCCCACCAAACUCUUGUUUUUAGUGUCUCUUCUGAGUCAAACAAACAAAUGAAUCAAAACUUUCAACAACGGAUCUCUUGGUUCUGGCAUCGAUGAAGAACGCAGC
rnacentral:misc_RNA from 1 species